rnacentral:rRNA from 1 species
CCUCGAUGUCGGCUCAUCUCAUCCUGGGGCUGAAGCAGGUCCCAAGGGUAUGGCUGUUCGCCAUUUAAAGAGGUACGUGAGCUGGGUUCAGAACGUCGUGAGACAGUUCGGUCCCUAUCUGCCGUGGGAGUUGGAGUCUUGAGAAGAGCUGCCCUUAGUACGAGAGGACCGGGGUGGACGAACCUCUGGUGUAUCUGUUGUUCCGCCAGGAGCACCGCAGAGUAGCUAUGUUCGGACAGGAUAACCGCUGAAAGCAUCUAAGCGGGAAGCCCCCUUCGAUACUAGGACUCCCUAUCAGAGCCGUGGAAGACCACCACGUUGAUAGGCUGGAUGUGGAAGUGUGGUAACACAUGAAGCUAACCAGUACUAAUUGCUCGAUCGGCUUGAAUUCAUCCA